rnacentral:rRNA from 1 species
GACGAACGCUGGCGGCGUGCUUAACACAUGCAAGUCGAACGGAAAGGCCCUGCUUUUGUGGGGUGCUCGAGUGGCGAACGGGUGAGUAACACGUGAGUAACCUGCCCUUGACUUUGGGAUAACUUCAGGAAACUGGGGCUAAUACCGGAUAGGAGCUCCUGCUGCAUGGUGGGGGUUGGAAAGUUUCGGCGGUUGGGGAUGGACUCGCGGCUUAUCAGCUUGUUGGUGGGGUAGUGGCUUACCAAGGCUUUGACGGGUAGCCGGCCUGAGAGGGUGACCGGCUACAUUGGGACUGAGAUACGGCCCAGACUCCUACGGGAGGCAGCAGUGGGGAAUAUUGCACAAUGGGCGGAAGCCUGAUGCAGAAACGCUGCGUGCGGGAUGACGGCCUUCGGGUUGUAAACCGCUUUCGCCUGUGACGAAGCGCGAGUGACGGUAAUGGGUAAAGAAGCACCGGCUAACUACGUG